AAGGUCAAGCGCGAGAGUAAGAACUACACAAGGAGUUAGAGUACCUUAGCAAAACUUUGCUAUCAGGUUGAGUUGUGAUGGGCGAUGAAGUGUUGCUGAGUGGAGUUUUUGUUGAACUUAAAGUAGGCUCAGAAAGGAUACAUGUCUUCAUACAUGUAUCUCAGUUAUGCAUUCCGCUGUAAACACUGAUUAUUUCAGUUACACCUUCCGUUGCAAACUCUGAUAAUGUUUUAGCCAAGCCCCUAACGAUGCCUUUUUCCUUUUAAGGAAUAUAACGCUUAUACAA